rnacentral:rRNA from 1 species
GAUGAACGCUGGCGGCGUGCCUAAUACAUGCAAGUCGAGCGAACAGACGAGGAGCUUGCUCCUCUGACGUUAGCGGCGGACGGGUGAGUAACACGUGGAUAACCUACCUAUAAGACUGGGAUAACUUCGGGAAACCGGAGCUAAUACCGGAUAAUAUAUUGAACCGCAUGGUUCAAUAGUGAAAGACGGUUUUGCUGUCACUUAUAGAUGGAUCCGCGCCGCAUUAGCUAGUUGGUAAGGUAACGGCUUACCAAGGCAACGAUGCGUAGCCGACCUGAGAGGGGGAUCGGCCACACUGGAACUGAGACACGGUCCAGACUCCUACGGGAGGCAGCAGUAGGGAAUCGUCCGCAAUGGGCGAAAGCCUGACGGAGCAACGCCGCGUGAGUGAUGAAGGUCUUCGGAGCGUAAAACUCUGUUAUUAGGGAAGAACAAAUGUGUAAGUAACUAUGCACGUCUUGACGGUACCUAAUCAGAAAGCCACGGCUAACUACGUG